GAGCAACUUGGAUACCAUAAAAAGAAACCCACCCUCUCUGGCAGCGAUCUGGCCGGGCUGACGUUGAACAUCUUGGACAUGUCUUCAGAGUUGCGUUGCUGCGCCACAUCGCACAGUUUGGCCGUGAUGUCGAUGCGUCUGCAGAUGUCCAUGUCCACCCGUCUGGCUUUCUCCUGAAUCUUGGAGUCCAGGUUUUCCACCGCAGACUCCAGCUGCUCGCGUUUGGACAGCUCCUCCUCCCAUCUGCAACACAACACAACAAAACACAAAGGAAUAUUGUUUGGUGAAGAAGCAGACCUCCUCCCCACAAAGUAUGAAAGCAGAAAGUAGAACGCACCGCAUGUGUAAAUG